GACGAACGCUGGCGGCGUGCUUAACACAUGCAAGUCGAACGGAAAGGCCCUGCUUUUGUGGGGUGCUCGAGUGGCGAACGGGUGAGUAACACGUGAGUAACCUGCCCUUGACUUUGGGAUAACUUCAGGAAACUGGGGCUAAUACCGGAUAGGAGCUCCUGCUGCAUGGUGGGGGUUGGAAAGUUUCGGCGGUUGGGGAUGGACUCGCGGCUUAUCAGCUUGUUGGUGGGGUAGUGGCUUACCAAGGCUUUGACGGGUAGCCGGCCUGAGAGGGUGACCGGCCACAUUGGGACUGAGAUACGGCCCAGACUCCUACGGGAGGCAGCAGUGGGGAAUAUUGCACAAUGGGCGGAAGCCUGAUGCAGCAACGCCGCGUGCGGGAUGAUGGCCUUCGGGUUGUAAACCGCUUUCGCCUGUGACGAAGCGUGAGUGACGGUAAUGGGUAAAGAAGCACCGGCUAUCUACGUG
rnacentral:rRNA from 1 species